rnacentral:rRNA from 1 species
AAGCGGCAAAGGCCCAAAUUUGAAAUCGCGCCCCUUUAGGGAUCGAGUUGUAAUUUGCAGAGGGUGCUUCGGCGUUGGCGCCGGGCCAAGUCCCUUGGAACAGGGCGCCUGAGAGGGUGAGAGCCCCGUGCCUGCCCGGGUCGCCUCCGCCGCCAGAAGCCCCUUCGACGAGUCGGGCUGUUUGGGAAUGCAGCUCCAAGCGGGAGGUAAAUUCCUUCUAAGGCUAAACACCGGCCGGAGACCGAUAGCGAACAAGUAGAGUGAUCGAAAGAUGAAAAGCACUUUGGAAAGAGAGUCAAACAGCACGUGAAAUUGUUGAAAGGGAAGCUCUUGCCGCCAGACCGGCCGCGGUCGUCGCAUCCACGUCCCCGUAUGUGGUGUACCCGUCCGCGGUAGGCCAGCGCCGGUCCGAGCGGUCGGACAAAGGCUCGGGGAAUGUGGCCCCUCUCGAGGGGUGUUAUAGCCCCGGGUGCAAUGCGGCCAGCUUGGACCGAGGCACGCGUUCGCUAGGGCGCUGGCGUAAUGGCCGCAAGCGACCCGUCUUGAAACACGGACCAAGGAGUCUAACGUCUGCGCGAGUGUUUGGGCUGAUAAACCCAUGCGCGUAAUGAAAGUGAACGGAGGUGGGAACCCUUAGGGGCGCACCAUCGACCGAUCCUGAUGUCUUCGGAUGGAUUUGAGUAAGAGCGUAGCCGUUACGACCCGAAAGAUGGUGAACUAUACACGGAUAGGGUGAAGCCAGAGGAAACUCUGGUGGAGGCUCGCAGCGGUUCUGACGUGCAAAUCGAUCGUCAAAUCUAUGUAUAGGGGCGAAAGACCAAUCGAACCAUCUAGUAGCUGGUUCCUGCCGAAGUUUCCCUCAGGAUAGCAGUAACGCCUCCAGUUUUAUGAGGUAAAGCGAAUGAUUAGAGGACUUGGGGCUGAAACAGCCUUAACCUAUUCUCAAACUUUAAAUAUGUAAGAAGCCCUUGUUGCUUAGGUGAACGUGGGCCUUCGAAUGUACCGUUACUAGUGGGCCAUUUUUGGUAAGCAGAACUGGCGAUGCGGGAUGAACCGAAAGCGGGGUUAAGGUGCCGGAGUGGACGCUCAUCAGACACCACAAAAGGUGUUGGUUCAUCUUGACAGCCGGACGGUGGCCAUGGAAGUCGGAACCCGCUAAGGAUCGUGUAACAACUCACCGGCCGAAUGAACCAGCCCUGAAAAUGGAUGGCGCUCAAGCGUCCCACCCACACCCCGCCGCCGGGGCGGAAGCGAAGCCCCGGCGAGUAGGCAGGCGCGGGGGUCCGGUGACGAA